AGGCUCAGGUAAGUCAGUGACAUAGCUUGGAC
rnacentral:piRNA from 1 species